rnacentral:rRNA from 1 species
UGGGGAAUAUUGGGCAAUGGGGGAAACCCUGACCCAGCAACGCCGCGUGAGGGAAGAAGGUUUUCGGAUUGUAAACCUCUGUUCUUGGAGAAGAGAAGGAGACGGUAUCCAAGGAGGAAGCCCCGGCUAACUACGUGCCAGCAGCCGCGGUAAUACGUAGGGGGCGAGCGUUGUCCGGAAUGAUUGGGCGUAAAGGGCGCGUAGGCGGCCGAGCAAGUCAGUAGUGGAAGUCCAAUUUUCAAGGUUGGAAGUGCUAUUGAAACUGCAGGGCUUGAGUGCAGGAGAGGUUAUCGGAAUUCCCGGUGUAGCGGUGAAAUGCGUAGAGAUCGGGAGGAACACCAGUGGCGAAGGCGGGUAACUGGACUGCAACUGACGCUGAGGCGCGAAAGUGUGGGGAGCA